CGCGGGGUGGAGCAGCUUGGUAGCUCGUCGGGCUCAUAACCCGAAGGUCGUAGGUUCAAUUCCUGCUUCCGCAACCA
rnacentral:tRNA from 1 species